rnacentral:rRNA from 1 species
CAGUGUGGGGCAAGCGUUGUUCGGAAUUACUGGGCAUAAAGGGUGCGUAGGUGGUUUGUUAAGUCAGGGGUGAAAUCCCGCGGCCCAACCGUGGAACUGCCUUUGAUACUGGCGAACUUGAGUGCGUGAGGGGUAGGGGGAACGAGCAGUGUAGCGGUGAAAUGCGUAGAUAUUGCUCGGAAGGCCAGAGCCGAAGGGGCCCUACUGGUGCGCAACUGACACUGAGGCACGAAAGCGUGGGGAGCAAACAGGAUUAGAUACCCUGGUAGUCCACGCCGUAAACUAUGAGCACUAGAUGGAUGCCGAGCUAUCGGUGUCUGUCGGAGGCAAUUUGGUAAGUGCUCCGCCUGGGGAGUAUGGUCGCAAGGCUG